rnacentral:lncRNA from 1 species
ACCAUGUUGCCCAGGCUGGUCUCAAACUCCUGGGCUCCGUGCCCAGCCUGCAGUAAAGCUUUUUACUCCAUUUAGGAAUGUGUGCUUCCCCUCUUUUCUUUGCCAAAUCGCUUGACUUCUAAUAACAUCUGGAUCUUUCUGAAAGGGAGGGAAAGAAAUUUUUUAAAAUUAUUAACUCACAAGGACAAAAUGAAUGGUAGGGGAGACUACAUGAAACAACAUUUCAACAAAUUCUCAGAAAAUGGAAAGGAGAUGGAGCAGAAGUAAUGAGUUUAACAGAGUGGAAGAAGUGGCAACCUGAAAACCUACAGAGGAGUUUUACUCCAGAGAAGAAGUGAGCACUUUCGCCCUGUGCCCAGAGAGGCACAGCUACUUCAGAUUGUGAAGUACUUCAGGUGUGAAGUCAGGAUAUGAAAAUGGAAAACUGACCAAAAAAUUGUACACAAAAUGCUUGACUGGCCAGUGUGAUGAUUAACUGUCAUCACACUUGUCCGGCUUAAGGAAUACCUGGAAACCUGUUAAAGCACGAUCUUGGUGUGUGUCUCUACGGUGUUUUCCAAGGAGAUUAGCAUGUGAGUCCUGAGUGGACUAGGUGGAGAAGAUCCACCCUUAGUGUGGGCAGACAUCAUCCAAUUGGCUGAGGGCCAGGAGAGAACAAACACAGAGGACAGGUGAAUGUGUCUUUCAAGCUCCUGGAGCUGAGAUACACUCCUCCUCCUCUUGGAUGUCAGAAACCCAGGCUCCCUGGCUCUUAGACUCCAGGACUUAACACCAGCUGCCGCUCACCCCAGGUUCUCAGAUCUUUGGCCUUGGACUGAGAGUUACACCACCAGCGGCCCUGAUGUUGAGACCUUCACACUUGGACUGAGUCAUGCCCCCAGCAUCCUGCGGGCCCCAAUUUGCAGACAGCCUGUCUUGGGGAUUUUUCAGCCUCCAUAACCACAUGAGCCAAUUCCCCUAAUAAAUUCCCUCUCAUAUAUUUAUAUGUAUUUACAUGUAUAUUCUAUUGGUUCUGUCUCUCUGUGGAACCCUGACUAACCCAGCUAGGUUUCCUAUCCUACCCCAGGCAAGGAAGCAGAUACCCCUCUUUCCUCCCAGCAACCACCUAUCCCUUCAUCUCCCCUCAAACACUUAUUCUCUGGAGAAGAUGAAUGAAGAAGUUCCAGGCUUAAGGAUGCUGUGGAGAGCUGAGGAGAUGAGGGAUUUCAAGUAGGAGCAUCAAGUGAAAAUGAGCACACUGAACUGUGGGAGCCUAGGGUUAUCUCUCUGUGAAGAAAGCAAUAUGUUGUGACAACCUCAGAUCCAAGAAAUUCAACAAACCCAGGCACAAGCAACAUGAAGAAAAUUAUAGCAAGGCACAAAUCAAAUUUCCCCAAACUAAUGAUAAAGAGAAGAUCCUAGGAACCAGAGAAGAAAGCCUUGUUACAUAUACAGGAACAAAGGUGAGGAUGACUUCAGAUUUCUCAUCAUAAAGAAUGCAUGUGAGAACUAGAACAAAUUAUUACAGUUCUGUCCUGGUUAAGAAAUGACACGUGUUUUGGAAAUUCAUGUGUCAAGAGCAAAUGAUAAAGAACGAGACUCCCAGGUGUCUCGUGAUAUUCUUCCUUUUAUCAUUCUUUAAUUCCCUAAGUAUCCUGUGGUUCCUUGAAGCUAGGCAGAGAGCCUCCUUCAGGUCUUUAUAUUCCCAUUGCCAAUAUGUGUUCCAAAAAAAAAAAGAACACUACUGCGGGGGGAAGCUGUUACUAGAAAACAAGAAAGACCAUUAUCAUUCCCCUUUACUUUUAUGCUACCUGUGGAUUUUUAUACCCACAUUGUAAAAUAUCUAUCAAGUGCAAAUACACUUAAUAGACAUAAGUGGAAGAAGUAGAAAGUUCACAUGUAUGUUAGAUAUCCAGUUUAUCCCUUACAUUUUAAUAGUCCUCAAUGAAUAAGCUAAUUCAGAUAAUGAAAUAUUUCUUUAUAGUUAUAUAAGGGAAUCAUAAAGUCAUUAUCCCAGUUUGAUUACGCAAAAUGUGAGAAAUUACUGCAUUGUGUGUUUGUGUGUGUUUAUGCAAUACUAUUUACUAUGUGCUAAGCAUUGUUCUAAGCACUUUACAUAUACUAAUUCGCUUAAUCCACAUACCAAUCCUGUGAGGCAGGUCUUAUGAUUCUCCUCAUUUUGUAAGUGAGGAAACAGAGACGGAGGGUAAGAUCACAUGACCAGUGUGUGACAGAAUGAGAAUUCCAACCCAGGCAGUCAGAAUCCACAGUCCAUGUUCUUUACCACCUCACUAUUUUGCCUUUCCACUACACAGUGUUAAAUAGGGACAGAACACUGUGAAAACUAAGUUUAGGAUGCUAGCCAAGCAGGAGAAAAACCAAAGUGGCCCUUUGCCAAUCAGAUGUUGUUUUGCUGCAUCUGAAGCAACAAGACUUCUAGACAUCUUUCUGUGGGAGUUUUAGUACAAUCCCAUUUUCCCAGGCUCUGGUUUUGUAACCUCGAAGAGCCAAAGGGAGAAAAAUAGAUUAGCUAAAAGAAUUAUAUUGUUGCCUUCGCUUUUGUGUUAAUAUAAGAUGUGUGUGUGUGUGUCUUUGUUUUUAACAAAAGUUUAAAAAGUAAAUAAAUAAUUUUGAAAGUAGAAAAAAGCUUAUAGAAGAAGGAUAUAAAGAAAGAAAAUAUUUUUGUAUAACUGUACAGUGUGCUUAUGUUUUAAGCUAAGUAUUAUUACAAAGGAGUCAAAGUUUUUUUAAGUUAAAAAGUUUAUAAAGUAAAAAAGUUACAGUAAGCUAAGCUGAAUUUAUUCUUAGAGAAAAAGAAUAAAUUUGUUUUAUAAAUUUAGCGUAGCCUAAGUGUGCAGUGUUUAUAAAGUGUACAGUAGUGUACAGUAAUGUCCUAGGCCUUCCCAUUCACUCACCACUCACUUAUCGAAUCACCCAGCAACUUCCAAUCCUACAAGCUCCAUUCAUGGGAAGUGUCCUAUACAGGUGUACCAUUUUUGUUUACCUUUUAUAUUGUAUUUUUACUGUACUUUUUUUAUAUUUAGAUACACAAACACUGACUCUUGUAUUACAACAGUAACAAGCUGUGCAGGUUUGUAACCUAGGAGCCAUAGGCUACACCACAUAGCCUAGGUGUGUAGUAGGCUAUACCAUCUAGGUGUGUGUAUGAUGUUCACACAAAGACAAAAUUACUAAUGACACAUUUCUCAGAACAUAUUCCCAUCAUUAAAUGAUGCCUUGAGGCAGGAGAUUAGGGUCUGGAGGCAGGGAACCUAAGGCCAAUUCAUACUGACUUCCUAGAACUGAAUCAAAAGGAAAACCCCAACUUUCCAUGCCCAAGUAACAAAACGACCAGAGGCUACUCCCUUUCCACCGCCACCUUUUCUGUGUGGCAGACGAAAAACUGAAAGUACCUCUGAUUGGUCCACUCCCACAACCAGUCAGGUUGGUUGUGGGCCAAGUCUUCUUUUGCACAGGAGUAUAACUUUGUAACUUCACUUCAGCCUCUGAUUGGUCACUUUCUGCAACUAAUCAGACUGAUCACGGGCCACUACUUCAUUUACAUAUGGAGUACACCAAGCAACCAAUGGGAAACCUCUAGCGGGUAGUUAAUCCCCAGAAAAUUCUGUAACCAGGCCCUUGAGCCACUUGCUUGGGCCCACUCCCACCCUGUGGAGUGUGCUUUCAUUUUCAAUAAGUCUCUGCUUUUGUUGCUUCAUUAUUUCCUUGCUUUGUUUGCAAGUUUUGUCCAAUUCUUUGUUCAAAAUGCCAAGAACCUGAACAC